GACGAACGCUGGCGGCGUGCCUAAUACAUGCAAGUUGAGCGCUGAAGGUUGGUACUUGUACCAACUGGAUGAGCAGCGAACGGGUGAGUAACGCGUGGGGAAUCUGCCUUUGAGCGGGGGACAACAUUUGGAAACGAAUGCUAAUACCGCAUAAAAACUUUAAACACAAGUUUUAAGUUUGAAAGAUGCAAUUGCAUCACUCAAAGAUGAUCCCGCGUUGUAUUAGCUAGUUGGUGAGGUAAAGGCUCACCAAGGCGAUGAUUCAUAGCCGACCUGAGAGGGUGAUCGGCCACAUUGGGACUGAGACACGGCCCAAACUCCUACGGGAGGCAGCAGUAGGGAAUCUUCGGCAAUGGACGAAAGUCUGACCGAGCAACGCCGCGUGAGUGAAGAAGGUUUUCGGAUCGUAAAACUCUGUUGGUAGAGAAGAACGUUGGUGAGAGUGGUAAGCUCAUCAAGUGACGGUAACUACCCAGAAAGGGACGGCUAACUACGUG
rnacentral:rRNA from 1 species